GGUGACGUGGCCGAGUGGCUAGGCAGAGGUCUGCAAAACCUCGUACGGCGGUUCGAAUCCGCCCGUCACCUCCA
rnacentral:tRNA from 1 species